AAGAAGUAAAUUGUGGCUGCUAACUACGAUUAGGGGUUAACUCCACUUCUUU
rnacentral:tRNA from 1 species